AUUGAACGCUGGCGGCAUGCUUUACACAUGCAAGUCGAACGGUAACAGGCCGCUAGGUGCUGACGAGUGGCGCACGGGUGCGUAAUGCAUCGGAACGUGCCCAGUCGUGGGGGAUAACUACUCGAAAGAGUAGCUAAUACCGCAUACGAUCUAUGGAUGAAAGCGGGGGACCGUAAGGCCUCGCGCGAUUGGAGCGGCCGAUGUCAGAUUAGGUAGUUGGUGGGGUAAAGGCUCACCAAGCCAACGAUCUGUAGCUGGUCUGAGAGGACGACCAGCCACACUGGGACUGAGACACGGCCCAGACUCCUACGGGAGGCAGCAGUGGGGAAUUUUGGACAAUGGGCGCAAGCCUGAUCCAGCAAUGCCGCGUGCAGGAAGAAGGCCUUCGGGUUGUAAACUGCUUUUGUACGGAACGAAACGGCUCUGGUUAAUACCCGGGGCUAAUGACGGUACCGGAAGAAUAAGCACCGGCUAACUACGUG
rnacentral:rRNA from 1 species